AGACCACCAGCUAAGGUCCCAAAAUAUAUGUUAAGUGGAAAAGGAUGUGGCGUUGCCCAGACAACUAGGAUGUUGGCUUAGAAGCAGCCAUCAUUUAAAGAGUGCGUAAUAGCUCACUAGUCGAGUGACACUGCGCCGAAAAUGUACCGGGGCUAAACAUAUUACCGAAGCUGUGGAUUGUCCUUUGGACAAUGGUAGGAGAGCGUUCUAAGGGCGUUGAAGCAUGAUCGUAAGGACAUGUGGAGCGCUUAGAAGUGAGAAUGCCGGUGUGAGUAGCGAAAGACGGGUGAGAAUCCCGUCCACCGAUUGACUAAGGUUUCCAGAGGAAGGCUCGUCCGCUCUGGGUUAGUCGGGUCCUAAGCUGAGGCCGACAGGCGUAGGCGAUGGAUAACAGGUUGAUAUUCCUGUACCACCUAUAAUCGUUUUAAUCGAUGGGGGGACGCAGUAGGAUAGGCGAAGCGUGCGAUUGGAUUGCACGUCUAAGCAGUAAGGCUGAGUAUUAGGCAAAUCCGGUACUCGUUAAGGCUGAGCUGUGAUGGGGAGAAGACAUUGUGUCUUCGAGUCGUUGAUUUCACACUGCCGAGAAAAGCCUCUAGAUAGAAAAUAGGUGCCCGUACCGCAAACCGACACAGGUAGUCAAGAUGAGAAUUCUAAGGUGAGCGAGCGAACUCUCGUUAAGGAACUCGGCAAAAUGACCCCGUAACUUCGGGAGAAGGGGUGCUCUUUAGGGUUAACGCCCAGAAGAGCCGCAGUGAAUAGGCCCAAGCGACUGUUUAUCAAAAACACAGGUCUCUGCUAAACCGUAAGGUGAUGUAUAGGGGCUGACGCCUGCCCGGUGCUGGAAGGUUAAGAGGAGUGGUUAGCUUCUGCGAAGCUACGAAUCGAAGCCCCAGUAAACGGCGGCCGUAACUAUAACGGUCCUAAGGUAGCGAAAUUCCUUGUCGGGUAAGUUCCGACCCGCACGAAAGGCGUAACGAUUUGGGCACUGUCUCAACGAGAGACUCGGUGAAAUCAUAGUACCUGUGAAGAUGCAGGUUACCCGCGACAGGACGGAAAGACCCCGUGGAGCUUUACUGUAGCCUGAUAUUGAAAUUCGGCACAGCUUGUACAGGAUAGGUAGGAGCCUUUGAAACGUGAGCGCUAGCUUACGUGGAGGCGCUGGUGGGAUACUACCCUAGCUGUGUUGGCUUUCUAACCCGCACCACUUAUCGUGGUGGGAGACAGUGUCAGGCGGGCAGUUUGACUGGGGCGGUCGCCUCCUAAAAGGUAACGGAGGCGCUCAAAGGUUCCCUCAGAAUGGUUGGAAAUCAUUCAUAGAGUGUAAAGGCAUAAGGGAGCUUGACUGCGAGACCUACAAGUCGAGCAGGGUCGAAAGACGGACUUAGUGAUCCGGUGGUUCCGCAUGGAAGGGCCAUCGCUCAACGGAUAAAAGCUACCCCGGGGAUAACAGGCUUAUCUCCCCCAAGAGUUCACAUCGACGGGGAGGUUUGGCACCUCGAUGUCGGCUCAUCGCAUCCUGGGGCUGUAGUCGGUCCCAAGGGUUGGGCUGUUCGCCCAUUAAAGCGGUACGCGAGCUGGGUUCAGAACGUCGUGAGACAGUUCGGUCCCUAUCCGUCGUGGGCGUAGGAAAUUUGAGAGGAGCUGUCCUUAGUACGAGAGGACCGGGAUGGACAUACCUCUGGUGUACCAGUUGUCGUGCCAACGGCAUAGCUGGGUAGCUAUGUGUGGACGGGAUAAGUGCUGAAAGCAUCUAAGCAUGAAGCCCCCCUCAAGAUGAGAUUUCCCAACUUCGGUUAUAAGAUCCCUCAAAGAUGAUGAGGUUAAUAGGUUCGAGGUGGAAGCAUGGUGACAUGUGGAGCUGACGAAUACUAAUCGAUCGAAGACUUAAUCAA
rnacentral:rRNA from 1 species